GAUGAACGCUGGCGGCGUGCCUAAUACAUGCAAGUCGAGCGAAUGGAUCAAGAGCUUGCUCUUAUGAAGUUAGCGGCGGACGGGUGAGUAACACGUGGGUAACCUGCCCAUAAGACUGGGAUAACUCCGGGAAACCGGGGCUAAUACCGGAUAACAUUUUGAACCGCAUGGUUCGAAAUUGAAAGGCGGCUUCGGCUGUCACUUAUGGAUGGACCCGCGUCGCAUUAGCUAGUUGGUGAGGUAACGGCUCACCAAGGCAGCGAUGCGUAGCCGACCUGAGAGGGUGAUCGGCCACACUGGGACUGAGAGACGGCCCAGACUCCUACGGGAGGCAGCAGUAGGGAAUCUUCCGCAAUGGACGAAAGUCUGACGGAGCAACGCCGCGUGAGUGAUGAAGGCUUUCGGGUCGUAAAACUCUGUUGUUAGGGAGGAACAAGUGCUAGUUGAAUAAGCUGGCACCUUGACGGUACCUAACCAGAAAGCCACGGCUAACUACGUGCCAGCCGCCGCAGUAA
rnacentral:rRNA from 1 species